rnacentral:rRNA from 1 species
GACGUAGGGCGCGAGCGUUGUCCGGAUUUAUUGGGCGUAAAGAGCUCGUAGGCGGCUUGUCGCGUCGUUCGUGAAAACUCACAGCUCAACUGUGAGCUUGCGGUCGAUACGGGCAGGCUAGAGUUCGGUAGGGGAGACUGGAAUUCCUGGUGUAGCGGUGAAAUGCGCAGAUAUCAGGAGGAACACCGGUGGCGAAGGCGGCCCCCUGGCUCGUACCUGACGCUCAGCCACGAAAGCAUGGGGAGCGAACGGG